rnacentral:snRNA from 1 species
GUGCUCACUUCAGCAGCACAUAUACUAAAAUUAGAAGGAUACAGAGAAGAUUAGCAUGGCCCCUGCACAAGGAUGACAUGCAAAUUCGUGAAGCAUUCCAUAUUUUU